rnacentral:rRNA from 1 species
GACGAACGCUGGCGGCGUGCUUAACACAUGCAAGUCGAACGGAGUGGCGAACGGGUGAGUAACACGUGGGUGAUCUGCCUUGCACUUCGGGAUAAGCUUGGGAAACUGGGUCUAAUACCGGAUAGUGCAAGAUGAGCUCGCGGCCUAUCGGCUUGUUGGUGGGGUAAUGGCCUACCAAGGCGUCGAAGGGUAGCCGGCCUGAGAGGGUGUACGGCCACAUUGGGGCUGAGAUACGGCCCAGACGCAGACGGGAGGCAGCAGUGGGGAAUAUUGCACAAUGGGCGGAAGCCUGAUGCAGGGACGCCGCGGGGGUGAGGAAGGCCUUCGGGUUGUAAACUCCUUUCGACAGGGACGCGGUACCUGUAUAAGAAGCACCGGCUAACUACGUGCCAGCAGCCGCGGUAAUUC